rnacentral:rRNA from 1 species
UACGGGGGGAGCAAGCGUUGUUCGGAUUUAUUGGGCGUAAAGGGCGCGUAGGCGGUCAGCACAAGUCAGUUGUGAAAUCUCCGGGCUUAACUCGGAAAGGUCAACUGAUACUGUGCGACUAGAGUGCGGAAGGGGCAACUGGAAUUCUCGGUGUAGCGGUGAAAUGCGUAGAUAUCGAGAGGAACACCUGCGGCGAAGGCGGGUUGCUGGGCCGACACUGACGCUGAUGCGCGAAAGCCAGGGGAGCGAACGGG